rnacentral:rRNA from 1 species
AACGAACGCUGGCGGCAGGCCUAACACAUGCAAGUCGAGCGAGAUCUUCGGGUCUAGCGGCGGACGGGUGAGUAACGCGUGGGAAUAUGCCUCUUGGUACGGAAUAGCCUCGGGAAACUGGGAGUAAUACCGGAUGUGCCCUUUGGGGGAAAGAUUUAUCGCCCAGAGAUUAGCCCGCGUUGGAUUAGGCAGUUGGUGGGGUAAUGGCCUACCAAGCCGACGAUCCAUAGCUGGGUUGAGAGGAUGAUCAGCCACACUGGGACUGAGACACGGUCCAGACUCCUACGGGAGGCAGCAGUGGGGAAUCUUAGACAAUGGGGGCAACCCUGAUCUAGCCAUGCCGCGUGAGUGAUGAAGGCCUUAGGGUUGUAAAGCUCUUUCAGCUGGGAAGAUAAUGACGGUACCAGCAGAAGAAGCCCCGGCUAACUCCGUG